UCUCUCUCUCUCUCUCUCUCUCUCUAAUUGCAAAGACUACACAUUCAAAAGCUUCUAUGUCCCUCCCUCUUAAUCUUCACUUUAUCCCCCUGAAAAUUUUCUUUUCUCUCUCUUAGGGUUUCUGCUGCUGGGAGACCUCUCUGCUUAGAUACAGUUGGAAAUUAAUGGGCUGAUGAUAGUAUAGUUCAAACACAGGCACAAGAUAAGAAGUAGAAUAAAUUAUGGAUCAAUCAGAGCAAACACAACAACGGCAACAGUCGCAUCAGCCACAGCAGCAGCCUGUAAUGGGAGUGGUAGCUGGUGCAGGGCAGAUGUCCUAUGCUACUACCCCCCACCCAACUUNNNNNNNNNNCCAUAGCUGUGGCUUCCCCAACUCAGCCGUCAUCCCCUUUCUCUAAUUCUCCUCAUCAGCUUACCUACCAACAGGCCCAGCACUUUCACCAUCAACGGCAGCAGCAGCAGCUUCAAGUGUUCUGGGCCAACCAAAUGCAAGAAAUUGAGCAAACAACUGACUUCAAGAAUCACAGCCUCCCACUUGCUCGAAUUAAAAAAAUAAUGAAAGCUGAUGAAGAUGUCCGAAUGAUAUCCUCUGAGGCUCCUGUUAUAUUUGCAAAGGCAUGUGAAGUGUUCAUCUUGGAGCUGACUCUGCGCUCUUGGAUUCACACAGAAGA
rnacentral:misc_RNA from 1 species